rnacentral:lncRNA from 1 species
AUGAGGGGGGAAGGGGCAGAAAAUGGAGGGAAAAGGGGAAAAGUGAGGGGGGCAAAGGGAAAAAUUAGGGAAAAAAAUGAGAAAAAUGGGGAAAGAAAAGGGAAAAAAAUUGGGAGGGAAAUUGGGGGGAAAAAAGGGAAAAAGAUGAGAAAAAUCUCAGGAUUCCGGAACGUUCCAGGGCUGGCGCUGGCGCUGCUGGAGGCGAGCGCGGAGGCUGAGCCCGAGGUGCAGCAGCAGCUGAGGGAGGCCCUGAGCGGCCUGGGAGACGCCGACCCCGAGGAGCUCCUGGAGUGCUGCGGGGAGUUCCUGAGGAACCACGACAAGCUGCCGGCGGCGCAGCGGGCGCUGGUUCUGUCCUCCAUGGGCGCCGUGGUUCGGAAGCACCUCCCGGAGCUGGGCCGGGCCGCGGCCGCGGCCGCCAUCGCUCUGGGGGCGCACGAGCUCUGCAGGGCCAAGGUGAGAGCACAGCCCGGCAUUCCCAACGUUCCCAGCAUUCCCAACGUUCCCAGCAUUCCCAAAAUUCCCAAUCCCAAAUCCCGAAAUUCCCCAAAUCCCAGAUCCCAAAAUACCCAAUCCCAAAAUUCCCAUCCCAAAUCCCAAAAUUCCCAUCCCAAAUCCCAAAAUUCAAAUCACAAAUCCCAAAAUUCCAAUCCAGAUCCCAGAAUUCAAAUCCCAAAUCCCAGAAUUCAAAUCCCAAAUCCCAAAAUUCAGAUCCUAAAUCCCAAAGUUCCAAUCCAGAUCCCCAAGUUCCCAUCCAAAAUCCCAAAAUUCCAAUCCCAAAUCCCCAAAUUCCCAUCCAAAACCCCAGAAUUCCAAUCCCAAAUCCCAAAAUUUCCAAUCCCAAAUCCCCUCAAUUCCCAUCCCUAAUCCCAAAAUUCCCAUCCUUAAAUUCCCACCCCAAUUCCCAAAUCCACGGUUAUCCCAUCCCGAAUCCCAAAAUUCCCAUCCAAAAUCCUAAAAUUCCAAUGCAGAUCCCAAAAUUCCCAUCCCAAAUCCCAAAAUUCAAAUCCCAAAUCCCAAAAUUCCAAUCCAGAUCCCAGAAUUCCCAUCCCAAAUCCCAAAAUUCCAAUCCAGAUCCCAGAAUUCCCAUCCUAAAAUUCCCACCCCAAGUCCCAAAUCCACGGUUAUCCCAUCCCGAAUCCCAGAAUUCCC